CUGGCCGUGGCCUGAUUCAAGUAAUCCAGGAUAGGUUGGUUUAUUACCAGAGAGCCUAUCCUCGACUACUUGGGUUAGGAGGCGGCGGA
ensembl:miRNA pma-mir-26b pma-mir-26b